AAAAAUGUCAAAACAAAAUAAAGAAAAAGAUUUUUGUAUUAAAUAAAUUAAAAGAAAUAAAAAGUCUGAUUAAAGUUAAAUUCAUUUGUAGAAGUAGCAGCUCUGCCAUUCUUUCAGCCCACACCUCUAACACAGAAUAUAUACUUUGUGCCUCUAAUAAAGCCCGCUCGCUGCCCUGGUACCACUUGCUUGCACUUUUCUUUUUUCUAAUAAUGAAAAUAAUAAUUAAAUUAUAUUUGUUUAAUUAAUAAUGCUACAAUUUUAUGUUUUUACUUACCUUUUUUAUAAAUUGCCAAAUUACAAAUUUAAAAUUCGCACCAAACAAACAAAAAAACAAAACGUGUAAACAGAAGAAAAAAAACAAGAAGAAAUAAAUAAAUGUCAAACUGAAUUACGAAUGUUGUCGUGUAAACAGGUUGAUUCGCAAUCGUAAUUCAAAACGCGAAUUAAGUAAUUCAGACUGCCGUGGAAACAUGGCAUAAGUCACGAACUAGACAAAGUUACACCAUUAACAGUAGCACCAUCCUUCAAGUCAGCACAUUCAUUUAAGUUAAAUAUUCUUUCUAAGCCAUUUAAUAACAUAGCAAUGAUAUAUUGCCGCUUUCAUUACCAGCCAGAAAAGCGUGAUUUAAAGGUAAAACUGCUAAAGAAGUUAGAACACCCCGGAAAUUUUCUGAACGUAAUUUGGUAACAUUGUUAGAGGCAUGAGAACUACUAAGAUCUGAAUAUAUGCCAAUUCGAUUUCCGGUGGUGGCAUAUACCAAUUCAGAGCCAAUAGUUUGUAGAAAAUGAGCUGGUUCAGCGGGAGGCCUAAAAGAAGUGACACAUAAAUAAGAAGAGUUUUUAUAAUAAAUAACAAAUGUCGACUCACCUUAAUUGAUAAUGCAAAAUACCAUCAUGAGCAUGCCACACCGCCAGACUGUGAUCCAAAGCAGAACUUAUCAAUUGUUGAUCAUUGGGUGCAGCCAAUUGCAACAAAUCACAUUCCAUGGGCCGCCAGGAAUUCAUAAUCAUGCCCGUGCGAGCAUCCAACAUGACUAUGGAGCCUGAGGAUAAACCCACUGCCAUCCAAUUACCCGAAGGUGCAACCGUUAAACAUCUAACGGUGCCAUUAUUUUGUGUAUUUGUACUAACACGCCACUCAUUGACAUACUGCAUGCAACGUGCAUCGAUAAUUUUUACUGAAGCUUCUGCUGUGCCGGCCACAAUCAAAGGAGACGGGGAUGGCAAACAUUUCACCACGGUUAUAGGAUUGUGUUUAGGUGAGUCCAGUAUGCCUAAAGGUCUUCCUAUGAAAGGAUCCCAUAUAUGAACACCAGAAUCACAAGAAACUACAAAACGCAUGUAUUCGAGAAAUGCCAGGGAAUGUAUGGAUUUCUUGUGGGCAGUAUAAGUAAAUUGGCAGGAGGUGGCUUUUGUACCAUCUCCUUCGCUGCGAAGUGACCACAAUUUAACUGUUUUGUCCUAAAGCAGAGAUUAUAAGUUAAGAUAUAUUUACAAUAUAUGGAAAAAAAACUCAGUAUCUGCUGUGCGAAUUUUAUAUAUAUUUAAAAAACAAGUCGGUCAAUCAUAAAAUGAAAUUUAUUUGGAUACCAAUAUUUUUAUGAGAUUUAUGCUCGUUAAAGAGUUUUUUGGAAGUGGGCCUUAUAUGGGAUGACUAUGACUAAUUAUGGAACGAUCUAUACUAAAUUUGGUAGUGCAAGUUAACCAUAUAUGUUGAAUUUUGUUUGGAUAUUUAUAUAAUUAAGAUAUUAAUGAGAACUUAACUAUUUUCUGGUAAAGCAAGGAAAAAUAAUGUACCGAUUCCAACCAAAUUCAAUUAUGACUCAGAGUGAUCCUGAUCAGAUUGGUAUACAUACUUUAACCCUCUAACCGGCAAGGCUGCCUUUAGGCGGGGUAUGUUAAAUGUAUGUAAUGCUGCUUUAUUUGCUUAUUUCUCCCGUUAUAACGGUAAAUAUGUGUAAAGAGACAAACAAUUUACUUGUGAUAAAUAUGAACGUGCACUUGUCUUUUGUUUUUUUUUUAUUCCAACGUAUUUUUUUUAUUCAAACAAUAACCUGGUAUAUUUGUUUACCUCAAAUUAAAAUUGGCCGGUUAGAGGGUUAAGGUGUAUGUUGGACAAUAUUUGUACACUAACCCAAUAUAACCUCCCCACUAUGGGGAGCUAGUUUCUUACUUGUCAGUUAAACUCAGCUUAACACGCUGUUAUAUUAAAAAUGAAACAUAUUUUGCCGGGAUUUAACCAAUGAUUGUAUUUCUCACUAAUGGAUUAAUUUUGUAAGCAUUGCCAUACUUUUCUGUGUAAUCACAUGUGCAUUCCUCAAAAUUUUUCAUAUAAAUAUGGCAAUAUGUACUUAAAAUUUUAUACAUAACUUUUUUGUAAAUUUUAACUUUGUAAAAGAAAAAGUGACAUUAAAGUAUAUAAAAUGUAUAUUAAAAAUUAUAUUGAUGUUAAUAAAGCAAAUCAAAACAAA